rnacentral:rRNA from 1 species
UACAGAGGGUGCGAGCGUUAAUCGGAAUAACUGGGCGUAAAGGGCGCGUAGGCGGUGAGAUAAGCUGGUUGUGAAAGAAUUGGGCUUAACCUAAUAAAGCAAACAGGACUGUCAAACUAGAGAUAAGGAGAGGUGAGAAGAAUUUCCGGAGUAGCGGUGAAAUGCGUAGAUACCGGAAAGAAUACCAGAAGCGAAGGCGAACUCACUGGACUUAGACUGACGCUGAGGCGCGAAAGCGUGGGGAGCAACAGG